rnacentral:rRNA from 1 species
CUAAAAGGAUUCUCUUAGUAAUGGCGAAUGAACAGGGAUGAGCUCAGCAUGGAAAUUGGGGUGUGCGGCUUUGAAUUGUAAUAUUGAGAUGUACUGCCAGCGGAGGCGCAGAUGCAAGCCUUUUGGAAUGGAGCACCAACGAGGGUGAGAGUCCUCUUUGGCAUUUGCAGUCCCCCGCGCACAGUGUACGUUCUACGAGUCGCGUUCCUUGGGACUGGAGCGCUAAAUGGGUGGUAAAUUUCAUCUAAAGCUAAACACGUGUCUGAUACUGAUAGUGAACAAGUACCAUGAGGGAAAGGUGAAAAGGACUUUGAAAAGAGAGUUAAACGUGCCUGAAAUUGCUGAGAGGGAAACGGAUGGAACUAGUGCUUACUACUGGCGAGAUUGCCGCAUGCUAUAAUGAUUGUUUGCUUCGCCAGCGCAAGCAGUUCGGCGAGUUUUGAUUCGCAAGCAUGUUGUGUUCUUGCGUCGUGUGCCACUGUGGGUUCACGCAUUAAGAAAACUUGGAGCACAUGGUACGAUAUUUCUGAAUGCAUGAAUGUGAAGUGCUUUAUUUCUGCACGAAUUUGAUGUGGGUGUCGGGUUGUAAUGCUCUUGUGUCCUCGGUCGCCCUGCGUGGGGUAAUUCCCUAUUAGGCGGCGGGGUGCGCAAGGUAUGGCUCGACAUUAGACAGGGCAAAAUGU